rnacentral:rRNA from 1 species
UACAGAGGGUGCGAGCGUUAAUCGGAAUUACUGGGCGUAAAGCGUGCGUAGACGGUUAUUUAAGUCAGAUGUGAAAGCCCCGGGCUCAACCUGGGAAUUGCAUUUGAGACUGAAUAGCUAGGGUACGGUAGAGGGAGGCGGAAUUUCCGGUGUAGCGGUGAAAUGCGUAGAUAUCGGAAGGAACAUCAGUGGCGAAAGCGGCUUCCUGGACCAGUACCGACGUCAGGCACGAAAGCGUGGGGAGCAAACAGGA